UACUACUCUGGCUCCAGCAAUAUCAAGUGUUUUGGCAACAUGAGCUAGGCAAGGAGGCCGGCUCAGCUUCGGAGAAAUGAAACUGCACAGAGGCUCAGCCAGAGUGACAGUGCUGGCCCCCACCUCGAACCCUCUCUGUUGGCGACAGCAGCAAUCCAGAGGACACAGCUCCCCCUGCAUGCAACGAAAGAAGACAAGGUGGUUCACCGCAGCACGGGUGCCCACAGCAUAACACGGAAACUGUCGAAUGGCCUCCCAUCAGACACCCCGUAAACCUGUCGGGCACUCAUGCAACGGAAUAGAGAAUGGACGUUAAAGCCAGCCACAUGAACUAACAUGAAACUCAUCCAGGGUGGGGCCAUCACGGCCCAGGGGGUCAUCCGGCACCAUGAAGAGAUUCCCCGCAAAAGUGAAGGGCAGCAGGCUGGGCCCGGGACAGAGGAAGAAAGGUCACUACGGAGC